rnacentral:rRNA from 1 species
GCACAAGCGGUGGAGCAUGUGGUUUAAUUCGACGCAACGCGAAGAACCUUACCUGGGCUCGAAAUGUAGUGGACUGGGGUAGAAAUAUCCCUUCCUAGCAAUAGGCUGCUAUAUAGGUGCUGCAUGGCUGUCGUCAGCUCGUGUCGUGAGAUGUUGGGUUAAGUCCCGCAACGAGCGCAACCCUUAUCUCCAGUUGCCACCAUUUAGUUGGGCACUCUGGCGAAACCGCCUCGGAUAACGGGGAGGAAGGUGGGGAUGACGUCAAGUCCUCAUGGCCUUUAUGUCCAGGGCUACACACGUGCUACAAUGGCCGGUAUAAACCGCUGCAAACCCGCGAGGGGGAGCUAAUCGGAAAAAGCCGGCCUCAGUUCGGAUCGCAGUCUGCAACUCGACUGCGUGAAGCUGGAAUCGCUAGUAAUCGCAGAUCAGAAUGCUGCGGUGAAUACGUUCCCGGGC